CGUCGGGAUGAACGCUGGCGGCGUGCCUAACACAUGCAAGUCGAACGGAGAUUUAGCGCUGACGAGACUUCGGUCAAAUCUUGUUAAAUCUUAGUGGCGGACGGGUGAGUAACGCGUGGGCAACCUGCCUCAUACUGGGGGAUAGCAGUUGGAAACGACUGAUAAUACCGCAUAAGCGCACGAGAUCGCAUGAUCUAGUGUGAAAAACUCCGGUGGUAUGAGAUGGGCCCGCGUCAGAUUAGCUAGUUGGUAAGGUAACGGCUUACCAAGGCGACGAUCUGUAGCCGGACUGAGAGGUCGGACGGCCACAUUGGGACUGAGACACGGCCCAAACUCCUACGGGAGGCAGCAGUGGGGGAUAUUGCACAAUGGAGGAAACUCUGAUGCAGCGACGCCGCGUGAGUGAAGAAGUAUUUCGGUAUGUAAAGCUCUAUCAGCAGGGAAGAAAGACUCGUAAGAGAGAUGACGGUACCUGACUAAGAAGCCCCGGCUAACUACGUGCCAGCCGCCGC
rnacentral:rRNA from 1 species